rnacentral:rRNA from 1 species
AAUAGAUACCCGGGUAGUCCACGCCGUAAACGAUGAGUGCUAAGUGUUGGAGGGUUUCCGCCCUUCAGUGCUGCAGCUAACGCAUUAAGCACUCCGCCUGGGGAGUACGGUCGCAAGACUGGAACUCAAAGGAAUUGACGGGGGCCCGCACAAGCGGUGGAGCAUGUGGUUUAAUUCGAAGCAACGCGAAGAACCUUACCAGGUCUUGACAUCUCCUGACCGCCCUGGAGACAGGGUCUUCCCUCCGGGGACAGGAUGACAGGUGGUGCAUGGUUGUCGUCAGCUCGUGUCGUGAGAUGUUGGGUUAAGUCCCGCAACGAGCGCAACCCUUGGUUCUAGUUGCCAGCAUUGAGUUGGGCACUCUAGAGCGACUGCCGGCGACAAGUCGGAGGAAGGUGGGGAUGACGUCAAAUCAUCAUGCCCCUUAUGACCUGGGCUACACACGUGCUACAAUGGAUGGUACAAAGGGCAGCGAAGCGGCGACGCAUAAGCGAAUCCCAGAAAACCAUUCUCAGUUCGGAUUGC